rnacentral:rRNA from 1 species
CCUACGGGGGGCAGCAGUGGGGAAUAUUGCACAAUGGGCGCAAGCCUGAUGCAGCCAUGCCGCGUGUGAAGAAGGCCUUCGGGUUGUAAAGCACUUUCAGCGGGGAGGAAGGCGGUGAGGUUAAUAACCUCAUCGAUUGACGUUACCCGCAGAAGAAGCACCGGCUAACUCCGUGCCAGCAGCCGCGGUAAUACGGAGGGUGCAAGCGUUAAUCGGAAUUACUGGGCGUAAAGCGCACGCAGGCGGUCUGUCAAGUCGGAUGUGAAAUCCCCGGGCUCAACCUGGGAACUGCAUUCGAAACUGGCAGGCUAGAGUCUUGUAGAGGGGGGUAGAAUUCCAGGUGUAGCGGUGAAAUGCGUAGAGAUCUGGAGGAAUACCGGUGGCGAAGGCGGCCCCCUGGACAAAGACUGACGCUCAGGUGCGAAAGCGUGGGGAGCAAACAGGAUUAGAACCCCGGUAGUC